AACGAACGCUGGCGGCAUGCCUAACACAUGCAAGUCGAACGAGACCUUCGGGUCUAGUGGCGCACGGGUGCGUAACGCGUGGGAACCUGCCCUUAGGUUCCGAAUAACUCCCCGUAAGGGGACCUAAUACCGGAUAAUGUCUUCGGACCAAAGAUUUAUCGCGUUUGGAUGGGCCCGCGUUGGAUUAGCUAGUUGGUAGGGUAAAAGCCUACCAAGGCGACGUUCCAUAGCUGGUCUGAUAGGAUGAUCAGCCACACUGGGACUAAGACACGGCCCAGAAUGGUAGGGGAGGGAGCGGUGGGGAAUAUUGGACAAGGGGCGAAGGCGUGAUCCAGCAAUGCCGGGUGAGUGAUGAAGGCGUUAGGGUUGUAAAGCUCUUUUACCCGGGAUGAUAAUGACAGUACCGGGAGAAUAAGCUCCGGCUAACUCCGUG
rnacentral:rRNA from 1 species